AUUGAACGCUGGCGGCAGGCCUAACACAUGCAAGUCGAACGAGUGGCGGAAGGGUUGGUUAUGUAUGGGCCACUGCCUGAUGGAGGGGGUUCACUACUGGACACGGUUGCUACUACCGCCUACCUUCAGCUGUGCCCAGGUGGGAUUAGCUUGUUGGUGGGGUAACGGCACACCAAGGCGACGAUCCCUACCUGGUUUGAGAGGAUGACCAGCCACACGGGAACGGAGACACGGGCCAGACUCCUACGGGAGGCAGCAGUGGGGAAUAUUGGACAAUGGGCGCAAGCCUGAUGCAGCCAUGCCGCGUGUAUGAAGAAGGCCUUCGGGUUGUAAAGGACUUUCAGCGGGGAGGCGUUACCCGCAGAAGAAGCACCGGCUAACUCCGUGCCAGCAGCCGCGGUAAUUC
rnacentral:rRNA from 1 species